UGGCUUAGAGGUUAAAGCGUCUGCUUCCAAUGUGGGAGACCCAGGUUCUAUCCCUGG
rfam:TPA: Bos taurus chromosome 1, whole genome shotgun sequence.